GUAGGUGAACCUGCGGAAGGAUCAUUAUUGAAUAAAACUGGCGUGGUUGUAGCUGGCCCUCUCGGGGGCAUGUGCUCGCCCGUCAACUUUAUAUCUCCACCUGUGCACCCUUUGUAGACCUGGACGAUAACUUUUCCCGAGUGCAAACUCGGGUCGGGAGGACUGCUGGCUUUCACGAGUCGGCUUUCCUUGUAUUAUCCAGGCUCUAUGUUAUUCACAUACCCCAAAGAAUGUAACCAGAAUGUAUCAU
rnacentral:misc_RNA from 1 species